rnacentral:rRNA from 1 species
CUGAAACCAUUUGCUUACAAUCAUUCAGAGCCCUAUGUAGCAAUACAGGGUGAUGGACUGCCUUUUGCAUAAUGAGCCUGCGAGUUGUGGUGUCUGGCAAGGUUAAGCAAACGCGAAGCCGUAGCGAAAGCGAGUCUGAAUAGGGCGCUUAGUCAGAUGCUGCAGACCCGAAACGAAGUGAUCUAUCCAUGAGCAAGUUGAAGCUAGUGUAAGAACUAGUGGAGGACUGAACCCAUAGGCGUUGAAAAGCCCCGGGAUGACUUGUGGAUAGGGGUGAAAGGCCAAUCAAACUUCGUGAUAGCUGGUUCUCUCCGAAAUAUAUUUAGGUAUAGCGUUGUGUCGUAAUAUAAGGGGGUAGAGCACUGAAUGGGCUAGGGCAUACACCAAUGUACCAAACCCUAUCAAACUCCGAAUACCUUAUAUGUAAUCACAGCAGUCAGGCGGCGAGUGAUAAAAUCCGUCGUCAAGAGGGAAACAACCCAGACUACCAGCUAAGGUCCCUAAGUCUUACUUAAGUGGAAAACGAUGUGAAGUUACUUAAACAACCAGGAGGUUGGCUUAGAAGCAGCCAUCCUUUAAAGAAAGCGUAAUAGCUCACUGGUCUAGUGAUUUUGCGCGGAAAAUAUAACGGGGCUAAAGUAAGUACCGAAGCUGUAGACUUAGUUUACUAAGUGGUAGGAGAGCGUUCUAUUUGCGUCGAAGGUAUACCGGUAAGGAGUGCUGGAGCGAAUAGAAGUGAGCAUGCAGGCAUGAGUAGCGAUAAUUAAUGUGAGAAUCAUUAACGCCGUAAACCCAAGGUUUCCUACGCGAUGCUCGUCAUCGUAGGGUUAGUCGGGUCCUAAGUCGAGUCCGAAAGGGGUAGACGAUGGCAAAUUGGUUAAUAUUCCAAUACCAACAUUAGUGUGCGAUGGAAGGACGCUUAGGGCUAAGGGGGCUAGCGGAUGGAAGUGCUAGUCUAAGGUCGUAGGAGGUUAUACAGGCAAAUCCGUAUAACAAUACUCCGAGAACUGAAAGGCUUUUUGAAGUCUUCGGAUGGAUAGAAGAACCCCUGAUGCCGUCGAGCCAAGAAAAGUUUCUAAGUUUAGCUAAUGUUGCCCGUACCGUAAACCGACACAGGUGGGUGGGAUGAGUAUUCUAAGGCGCGUGGAAGAACUCUCUUUAAGGAACUCUGCAAAAUAGCACCGUAUCUUCGGUAUAAGGUGUGGUUAGCUUUGUAUUAGGAUUUACUCUGAAAGCAAGGAAACUUACAACAAAGAGUCCCUCCCGACUGUUUACCAAAAACACAGCACUCUGCUAACUCGUAAGAGGAUGUAUAGGGUGUGACGCCUGCCCGGUGCUCGAAGGUUAAUUGAUGGGGUUAGCAUUAGCGAAGCUCUUGAUCGAAGCCCGAGUAAACGGCGGCCGUAACUAUAACGGUCCUAAGGUAGCGAAAUUCCUUGUCGGUUAAAUACCGACCUGCAUGAAUGGCGUAACGAGAUGGGAGCUGUCUCAAAGAGGGAUCCAGUGAAAUUGUAGUGGAGGUGAAAAUUCCUCCUACCCGCGGCAAGACGGAAAGACCCCGUGGACCUUUACUACAGCUUGACACUGCUACUUGGAUAAGAAUGUGCAGGAUAGGUGGGAGGCUUUGAGUAUAUGACGCCAGUUGUAUAUGAGCCAUUGUUGAGAUACCACUCUUUCUUAUUUGGGUAGCUAACCAGCUUGAGUUAUCCUCAAGUGGGACAAUGUCUGGUGGGUAGUUUGACUGGGGCGGUCGCCUCCCAAAUAAUAACGGAGGCUUACAAAGGUUGGCUCAGAACGGUUGGAAAUCGUUCGUAGAGUAUAAAGGUAUAAGCCAGCUUAACUGCAAGACAUACAAGUCAAGCAGAGACGAAAGUCGGUCUUAGUGAUCCGGUGGUUCUGUGUGGAAGGGCCAUCGCUCAAAGGAUAAAAGGUACCCCGGGGAUAACAGGCUGAUCUCCCCCAAGAGCUCACAUCGACGGGGAGGUUUGGCACCUCGAUGUCGGCUCAUCGCAUCCUGGGGCUGGAGCAGGUCCCAAGGGUAUGGCUGUUCGCCAUUUAAAGCGGUACGCGAGCUGGGUUCAGAACGUCGUGAGACAGUUCGGUCCCUAUCUGCCGUGGGCGUAAGAAGAUUGAAGAGAUUUGACCCUAGUACGAGAGGACCGGGUUGAACAAACCACUGGUGUAGCUGUUGUUCUGCCAAGAGCAUCGCAGCGUAGCUAAGUUUGGAAAGGAUAAACGCUGAAAGCAUCUAAGCGUGAAGCCAACUCUAAGAUGAAUCUUCUCUAAGCUCUCUAGAAGACUACUAGUUUGAUAGGCUGGGUGUGUAAUGGAUGAAAGUCCUUUAGCUGACCAGUACUAAUAGAGCGUUUGGCUUAUCUUU